ACCUCUGCAGUGAGGACUGUGAAGCCUUUACAUUCAUGUUGAUGUUGUCCUCAUUCCAGCGGUCGUACUGCACGCUGCCGGCACCGUUGGAGUCCAUUUGGACAGUUUUCCUUCGCCUCGGGGGCCGAUCUGCUCACUCACUGCUUCAGUGUUGAGCUUCACUGCGCUCUGAAACAGCGAGUUUGGACAGUUGUGUCUGCAUAACAAAAUACUAACACUUUUAGGGUAUUUUAAAGUCAAUCAAAUAUCCCGGGGCUAAACCAUAGCUCAUGACUAAAAUAAUCCGGUUCAAAAAGCAGUGACUGAAGGAUUACAAAUUCCAUUCAUAUCCUCACAGUCUUACAAAAUUUCUGCUCACCUGUAGGAGUCACAAACAGUCACCAGCCUGCUUAGGAAUCUCUGCUCUCCGGCACUUGUAAAUCAGCGACUGAGACGAAGAGCUGUGCCUCAGCCUGUCAUAAGUCCUCUGCUCCUAAUCCAUCUGUUGUUUUUGACCCUGUUAAAUGACUCUUUCUCAGUGAUAAAGGCCAGCUCAAUGUGGUUUGUUAGUCUCCUGUUUCAUCAGCGCCUGUGCAGAUAGUGCACUGCUUAGCAAAGAUAGUUGAUUUUGUAGAGUUUAAUGGUUUGGGCUAAACACAACAGCAUGCAGGUUUACUCCUUGGCUUCACUGAAAAGGGGAAAUGCAGUACUGUAGUACAACCCCAGUACUGUUUCAGACACAGGGGCCACAUAAUUUAACGAUCCCUGCGACUUACUUUUAUUACAGUACAUACAAUGUAAUACCUCAAAAGAAGCAAGGGGAUUUUUUUUACUUCCCUUGAAGUGUCAUAUUUUACGCUGAGAAGUUGAGUUCAUGAGAAUCCUGCAUGUGAAUAAAGUUGUUAAGUUGACUUAACCUGUCUGGUUAACAUACAUUCAAAUCAUUUGAUCCUUGAAACUGGAAGGAAGAAGAAUCGGGGUAGAAAACUCCAACACUUUGGAUUGGCAAUCUGCAGGGACUUGCACUAGUGUUGUUUCACUCUGUUUUAGACAUUCUGCAGGUAGAGGUAGAGGCUCAUUCAUCAUUAACUUGAAUGGACAGGCACUGAGUUUGCCUGCAGCAUAUUUCUCCUUUCCUUCCAUGAUACAUCUCCCACAAACCUAAAAAUAAUAAGCACUAUUGUACUUCUUUAGAUUUUCUUUCUAAGGAGCCAGACUUUCAUAUAUUUUUUAACUGGUCUUGAGCAAUAGUUCUCCAGGGUUUCUGCCGGUCUUUCAAAGUCUUUCUUUAAAUAUUGACUGUGUUUUCACUCGUUUUCCAGUCCAGUCCUUGUAGCUCAACAUUUUAAGAGAAAUAUUUGUUUUUGUUAACAAUGACCUUGGAAUUUUAAAAAAAGGCACCAAAAAGACACCUAACUCAAGGGAUGAACCUGUGUUGUGUCUACACAUAACAGACAAUGUAGCAAGGAACCAAUGUUACAUUGUAUCUUAUGCCCCCAAAAAGUUGACUCCGUUCAUCUGGACACAGCGUUUUCAGUGGGAGAAACUUUUCGUCACUCAUCCAGAUGACUUCUUCAGUCUCAGCUGACUGCAGUCCUGGCCCGACAAGUUAGCUCUUCUGUGUUGCGCCAUCCGCUUAGCGGCUAAGUGGUGUGAGGGGGGAGUGGUAGGCCCUUUAUGUCAGUUAGGCUCUUUAUGAGAAAAGGGAAAGACCAUCUCUGAAUUGAGGUGGGGGCCUAAGGGUACAUCUUUCGCCAUCUUACAGUGCUGUGAUUGCAGCCAUUCCCCAACUCUCUGUGAAUGGUACUCAUGGCCAUUGAUCAAUGGUUUUUGAUCAGUGGUUGCUGGUCAAUGGUUAUGAGAAUUUGCAUAUUAAUGAUCAAGGAACUGACCUCACAGCCCAUUGUU
ensembl:lncRNA